UUUUCCCGGUUCUCAGAUGGCCUCGGUCAUUCUGGAAACCCUCGCCGCCGCAUCCGCUUCAGACCAGAGGAGAGAAAACAGCGGACACAAGAGCUGCGCCUACCCGGGCGUGCGACGCCGCCGAAGACCGAAGGGAUGGACACCGACGACAUGGAGUUCCUGCUGGAUGCGGUCCACAGGUUCCCCAUCAGAGAGGAGUUCGCUGACAAUCUCGAGCAGCCAAAUCCGGUCGCCCUACGCUUACUGAUACAGAAUGGGGGUGGGGGGGUGUGGAAGCUUGCGAUCCAAGCGAUGGGUCUGCCAUGGGUGAGUAUGUUGUACAAGGUGGAAACCAUGGCGCACAAGACGAUGGGCGCCAUGGACGUCCUCCCUCGCUGACAAGGUCAGCACAGUCAACUGACAGGGUAAAUCUAGAGGCGCCCGGCUAGACAAAAAGGUUAAGGCUAGGAAGUGCGCCGCCGGACCGAGCCCCAUGCCCAUCUCGCAUGUCCGCAUUGGAGCUCUCUAUGCGCAAAUAUGCAGAACAACCUGACAAAAGUGUGAUACGCCCAGAACUAGGACUAAGUUUCGACUCCUUGGGCGAGGCAUAUGAUUUCUACAAUCUUUAUUCGUGGGAGGUUGGUUUUGGGAUUAGAUACGGGAAGAGCCGUCUGAAUGCGGAGAGAACGAAGAGCAUGCAGGAAAUUGUUUGUGGUUGCUCUGGGAAACCUAGCUGAGAACAACCGUUCUUGCAAAUGCGAGUGCCCGGCUCUGAUCGGGCUGUUGCGUGCGUCGGACAACAGCUGGUACAUCACGAAGCACCGUGAGAACCACAAUCACUCAAUGUCACUUACCAUGGGUGAGAAAGUAUACUGGCCCUCGCACAAACAUAUUGAUGUGUACACAAAGGAUUUGAUAAGGCAACUUAGGGAGAACAAUGUUAACCUUGGGAAAGUGUACAAUAUAAUUGGGAGCUUCUUUGGGUCAGUGGAGAAGGUACCGUUCACAAAAAGGACUCUCAGGAACAUAUGCGGCAAGAUUAGUCGUGAACAAGCAGACGAUGAUGUGAGGAAAACAUUGGAAGUGUUUGCGGAUAUCCGUUCCACCGACCUAGGUUUCACCUAUGUGGUACUGGCAGGCAAUUCCAGGAAGGUGAAGAACGACAUGUGGGCUAACGGAAGCAGUCGUAUGUAGUAUAAAUUCUUUGGUGAUGUGGUGACCUUCGACACGACGUACAGAACAAACCUCUGUGACAUGCCAUUUGGAUUAUUUGUGGGAGUUAACAAUCAUUACCAAAGUAUUAUUCUUGCUGGAGUGUUGAUGCAGGAUGAACAAGAAGAGAGCUUCAAGUGGGUGUUCAUAGAAUUUCUACGGUUGAUGGGUGGGCCUGCUGCAAAGACAAUAUUGACAGGGCCAUGGAGGUGGCAAUAAGGAAUACUCAUCCUCAGACAGUACACCGAUGGUGCAAGUGGCAUGUCCGGAAGAAAGCAAAGGAUACACUGGGUCCACUGUACACGAAGAAGAGCGACUUUCAGGCAGAGUUUCACAAGGCUGUGAACCACGUGCUUACUGAAGACGAGUUUGAAGCAGGAUGGGCCAUGUUGCUGGACAAAUACAACCUCCGUAGCCACACUUACAUGACACAAAUUUACGAAAUGAGGAGGAAGUGGGCGAAGCCGUACUUCAGAGGUGUGUUCUGCGCAAAAAUGACAAGCACUCAAAGAAGUGAGAGCGCAAACCACAUGCUGAAAAUGUACAUGCCCCAUGAGCCCUAUGCAUGUGCUCGUUAGGCAGUAUAUGAGGUUGCAGUUUGACAGAGAGCGUGAAGAGAGCUAUGAGGAAAAGAGGACCAUGAUUGGUGGUGUUGUGAGGAGGACCAACCUUGCAAUAGAGCGGCAUGCAAGCAAAAUAUACACAAGGAAUAUGUUUGAGGAAUUUGGUUGCCUAAUUGUUGAAGGAACAACCUAUAAUGUAAGUGAAGUGGAGAGGCUGAAGAGAUACAAGACAACACACAACAAUGCAGCCAAAAGAGAAAAGUGGAGCAAGGUUGAAUAUGAGGUGACCAUAAACGAAGACAAGUCAAUAUUCAGUUGCGAGUGUGGCCAGUUUGAGUACACUGGGAUGUUGUGCUGCCAUGUCCUGAGAGUUAUGUAGAUUUUGCCUCUGGAGGAGAUCCUGAAGCAUCAUAUUUUGAAACGAUGGAUAAGAGACGGCAGGGAUGUACUGCCAGAUCACCUUGUCCAAUAAGGACAACUCACUGAGCUUGUCGUUCACAUAUAGGCAUGCAACUUUGUAUUUGGAGGCAAUGGAAGUCAUGCACAUGGGGGAUGCUAGCGCUGCAUGUUAUGACCACGUCAAUGCUGGUCUCGAUGCUUUGCUGUUAAGUUCGGCACCACUAGCAGAGGUGAGGGACGGUUUGGCUUUCGAGGACCAACUAGCCGUAACGGCAGAUGCAAGGAAGGGUAAGGAAAUAGCAACUACAAGUGCUGACCAUGACGCGGGGCAUAGCCAGAGUGCUGGCCAGUCUGCUAGCAUAAACAAACUUCAAGGGCUUGGUGCACCUAACAAGCAUAGAGGCGCUGGCAGGCCGACGAACAGUCAGGACAAAGCCACGUACGAAGGUUUAAGCAAGCGCACCAGAUUCUGUAGCAUCUGUCGGUGCGAAGGUCAUAAGAAGACCAUGUGCCCGGAAAGGGGUGAUACACCAAAGAAACCACGAAAACCAGCAAAAUGCAAGAAUUGCAGGAUCGAAGGACACUGGCAGAACACUUGCAAGCGGCCGCUUGGUUUGGCUGAGCAAUGAGUUUUCUAUUUUACUGUAUAUUGUGAAAAAAAUUACCAGGGUAUUUUCCAGUGUGUUUCCUAUGUGGCACUGUUGCAUCCCUAAAAUCAAUCAUGCAUCAAACUGCUCUGUUUAUUGUUGUACCGUGAGAGUGGACAAAAGGUUUUUAUGCCACUGAACUAUGAUGAGGUUAAUGUGGAAUCCAUGCACCCUGGAUGGAAUUAGAGUAGCUGCAUAUGUGAUGUUAUUGUUAGAUCAUCAGGGAGGUUGUUAGAACGUGCAUUUUCCUAAACGAGAGGAUCAUUUACAUGCUCUAUGUUUUACUUUUGUGGGGUUCCUAUCUGUUGCGUUUCAUCGAUGUGUGUAUUGCUGACACAUGGACCUCACGCAUAGUCAGGAACACCCGAAACGGGGUGGUUUUUGUGCGCCAUUUUUAUUCAAAAUUCAAAAGGAUCAAGUAGAGAGAGUAAAUGCAGACGAAGGCCUGGGGCAAGACAGACGCAGUAUAAGAUACAACUGGGGUGCCUGCUCGGCUACAUUGCUUCAGUUUCCCUCCUUUGCCACAGGUUCAAAUUUUUUUGAAAGUCCAGACUGCUUCACAAUGGCGAUGUCUUGGGAGCAAUCAACGGCGAGCGGCACAACCUGCUGCUCUGAUCGGCGUGAGAAAAUCAUCAUGAAAGAAUAUCAGACAACUUCAGCAAGCCUGGAUUCAGCGGCGAGCGCGUGGAGUACAACGGUGCUGCCGGCGAGAAGACAUGCUUGUUCGGGACAGGUGAGG